AUGAGUUAUAGUUUAAUAGAAAAUAUUAUUUUUGUAAAUUAAUGAUGAGAUUUCUAAAAGUGG
rnacentral:tRNA from 1 species